AUUGAACGCUGGCGGCAGGCCUAACACAUGCAAGUCGAGCGGAUGAAGGGAGCUUGCUCCUGGAUUCAGCGGCGGACGGGUGAGUAAUGCCUAGGAAUCUGCCUGGUAGUGGGGGAUAACGUCCGGAAACGGGCGCUAAUACCGCAUACGUCCUGAGGGAGAAAGUGGGGGAUCUUCGGACCUCACGCUAUCAGAUGAGCCUAGGUCGGAUUAGCUAGUUGGUGGGGUAAAGGCCUACCAAGGCGACGAUCCGUAACUGGUCUGAGAGGAUGAUCAGUCACACUGGAACUGAGACACGGUCCAGACUCCUACGGGAGGCAGCAGUGGGGAAUAUUGGACAAUGGGCGAAAGCCUGAUCCAGCCAUGCCGCGUGUGUGAAGAAGGUCUUCGGAUUGUAAAGCACUUUAAGUGGGGAGGAAGGGCAGUAAGUUAAUACCUUGCUGUAUUGACGUUACCAACAGAAUAAGCACCGGCUAACUUCGUG
rnacentral:rRNA from 1 species